AGAAGUAAAAGUUUAGGGGGAAAAUAAAAAGUUUUGGGGAAUAAAAGUUUGAGGGAAUGUAAAUAGGGGGAGUAAAAUUUUGGAGGGAAAAUAUUAAAAAAAAUUAGAGGGGGGAGGGUUUGGGGUAGAUGGGAGGUGAGAUGGGAAGGGAAUAAAAGUUUUAGGGGAAAAGUGGGAGGGAGUAAAAAUUUUGGGGGAAAAUAAAAGGUUUUGAGGGUUUUUGGGAGUAAAAUUUUAAGAAAAAUUAAAUGGGAGAGUAAAAUUUUGGUGGGAAAUGGAUUUUGGGUAGAUUGGGGGAUUGGGAGGGGAGAGAAGUAAAAGUUUUGGGGGGAAAGUGGGAAUGAGUAAAAGUUUUGAGGGAAAAGAAAAAAGGUU
rnacentral:lncRNA from 1 species